AGGAUGAACGCUAGCGGCAGGCUUAACACAUGCAAGUCGAGGGGUAGAGUUCUUCGGAACUUGAGACCGGCGCACGGGUGCGUAACGCGUAUGCAAUCUACCUUUUACAGAGGGAUAGCCCAGAGAAAUUUGGAUUAAUACCUCAUAGUAUUAUGAAAUGGCAUCAUUUUAUAAUUAAAGUCACAACGGUAAAAGAUGAGCAUGCGUCCCAUUAGCUAGUUGGUAAGGUAACGGCUUACCAAGGCUACGAUGGGUAGGGGUCCUGAGAGGGAGAUCCCCCACACUGGUACUGAGACACGGACCAGACUCCUACGGGAGGCAGCAGUGAGGAAUAUUGGACAAUGGGCGCAAGCCUGAUCCAGCCAUGCCGCGUGCAGGAUGACGGUCCUAUGGAUUGUAAACUGCUUUUAUACGAGAAGAAACACUCCUUCGUGAAGGAGCUUGACGGUAUCGUAAGAAUAAGGAUCGGCUAACUCCGUGCCAGCAGCCGCGGUAAUACGGAGGAUCCAAGCGUUAUCCGGAAUCAUUGGGUUUAAAGGGUCCGUAGGCGGUUUAAUAAGUCAGUGGUGAAAGCCCAUCGCUCAACGGUGGAACGGCCAUUGAUACUGUUAAACUUGAAUUAUUAGGAAGUAACUAGAAUAUGUAGUGUAGCGGUGAAAUGCUUAGAGAUUACAUGGAAUACCAAUUGCGAAGGCAGGUUACUACUAAUGGAUUGACGCUGAUGGACGAAAGCGUGGGUAGCGAACAGGAUUAGAUACCCUGGUAGUCCACGCCGUAAACGAUGGAUACUAGCUGUUGGAAGCAAUUUCAGUGGCUAAGCGAAAGUGAUAAGU
rnacentral:rRNA from 1 species